rnacentral:rRNA from 1 species
UACGUAGGGGGCAAGCGUUGUCCGGAAUCAUUGGGCGUAAAGAGCGUGUAGGCGGCCAGAUAAGUCCGCUGUGAAAUCUCGAGGCUCAACUUCGAGCUGUCGGUGGAAACUGUCUGGCUAGAGUCCGGAAGAGGAGAAUGGAAUUCCCGGUGUAGCGGUGAAAUGCGCAGAUAUCGGGAGGAACACCGGUGGCGAAGGCGGUUCUCUGGGCCUGACCUGACGCUGAGGAGCGAAAGCGUGGGGAGCGAACAGG